rnacentral:lncRNA from 1 species
UAGGGUCCCUCAGUUCAUUCGCUAUUGGGAAUACUGCACAGGUGUAUCCAAGACAAAAGGAAAAAGAUAAAAACAAAAGGCUUGAUCAAUUGUCAUAUACACAAGCAUAUUUUAAAAUUUUAACAAUCUUUGCCAUGUAAGGAGGAGAGUUGUUGGAAUACUUAUUUCAGAGAAAAAAUUUGUUACAAUAGCGCAUCAUAUUUGUAAUUCUAUGUAAUGUUGAACUAGGGGUGUGCAUAAUUCGGGUAAAACCGAAAAAAUUCGGUUAACUGACCGAAUUCGGUUAAUCGGUCGGUUAACUAAAUUUUUUCAGUCGGGGGUCGGUUAAUUUUUUUAUGAUUUUUCGGUUAACGGUUAAUUCGGUUCGAAACCGGUCGGUUAACCGAAAAAAUUAAUAAAUAAAAUUAUCCAACCCAGCCCAAACUUAAUUACCCAACCCAAUUACCCAACCCAAUAAAACUAAAACUAAAGUUUACCCAAUCCAAUAAAACUAAAACUAAAAGACAACCCAAUUUACUAAAGUCUAAAACCCAAUUUACUUUAAUAAUUUAUAAAUUUUUUAAAUUUUAAAAAUAAAAAAUAAAAAAAAUUCGGGUAAUUCGGGUAUUUUUCGGUAAUUCGGUUAAUUCGGGUAAUUCAGGUAAUUUUUAACCAAAAAUAAAAAAUACAUAAUUUUCGGUUAAUUUGGUUAACCGACCUUAUUAACCGAAAAAAUUUCGGUUCGGUUAAUUUUUUUAAAAAAAAUCGGUUCGGUUAACGGUUAAAAUUUUUGAAAGGUUGGUUAAUUCGGUUAUAGUAAUUUCGGGUCGGUUAAUCGAAUGAACACCCCUAGAUCAGACUAUGUUAUUAUUGUGCUCUUUACCUCCUUCAUACAAGUCUUUUAAGGAAACCCUGAUUUAUGGCAGAGACAAACUCUCAUUCGAAGAUGUGAAAGGUCAUUUGUUGAGUAGAGAUAAACUUGACAAUGAGUUUGGUUUGGAUAGCAAGGCAGAUAGGCAAGCUUCUGUUUUGGUAGCAUCAAAGAAACGAGACAAAAGGUGUCGCUAUUGUAAAAAGUUAGGUUACGUCAAAGCAGAUUGUUAUAAACUACGAAAUAAAAGAGCUGCUGAGAGUAACGAGGAAGAUGUAGCUGGUGCUAAUAUAGGACAUAAAUGUAAUUUUUUCAAAAAGGAGUUGAUGAUGAGAAAAGAUGGAGCGAUGGCAGUCGAAGAUACAAGGAAUGCCUUGUUAUGAAAAACUAUGUAAUUUUUUAUUUUUCAUUUAUUUUUUAAAAAUAGAACCAUGGGAACCUUAGCUAGCAAUUUUGUUUUAUUGCCCAUCUCUUUAUAUAUUUGUUUAAUAAUUAUUUAUCAUAUGAUUGUGAUAUAUAUGUAUGAGAUGAUCCACAAUUGAUCUAUUAAAGAUAAGAAGUGUGGUAAUGAGAAAAUACACGUAGGGGUGAGCAAAACUCGAUUCGACUCGAAAAAAUCGAAAAAAAUUCGAAUUUCGAGUUAAACGAAUCGAGUUAUUCGAGUUAAUCGAGUUAUUCGAAUCAACUCGAAUUUUUUUUCAAAUUUCGAGUUCGAAUCGAGUUGAGUUUUCGAAUUCGAAUAACUCGAAUAAUUCGAAUAAUUCGAAUAUCAAACUAUAAUAUUUUACAUUUUUACCCCAAACUCCCAAACCUUUUUACUUUUACCUCAAAACUUUUACUCCUUCCCACUUUUCCCCUAAAACUUUUACUCUCCUCCCCUCCCAAUCCCCCAAUCUAUCCAAAAUCCAUUUCCCACCAAAAUUUUACUCUCCCAUUUACUUUUUCCUCAAAAUUUUACUCCCAAAAAUCCUCAAAACCUUUUAUUUUCCCCCAAAAUUUUUACUCCCUCCUACUUUUCAUCUAAAACUUUUAUUCCCUUCUCAUCUCACCUCCCAUCUACCCCAAACCCUCCCCCUCAAAAUUUUUUUUAAUAUUUUCCCUCCAAAAUUUUACUCCCCCUAUUUAUUUUCCCUCAAACUUUUAUUCCUCAAAACUUUUUAUUUUCCCCCUAAACUUUUACUUCUCACCCUGUACUCACAAAUAAAAAAUCAAAAUUAUCCAAAAAAAUCACUAAACAUAAAUAGUAAUAAUUUUAUUUAUAUCUACUAUUUAUAUUAUUAAAUUAAAUUUCACAUUUUAUAUUAUUUAUAUUAUUGAAUUGUUUAGUCAUAUUGAAUAUUUAUAUUAAAAUUGAAUUAUUAAUUAUGCCAUAAAAUAUUCGUGUUAAAAUUUUAUAUUGGUAUCAAUUUCACAUUUUAUUUUUAAAAUAACUUUUAUUAAAAAAUCAUAUUUUUACAUUUAAUAUUUUUUAAUUCCAAAAUACAUAGUGACAAGAAUCUAAAGAUAAUUGAAACAACUAAGCAAGCAAAGAAGCUAACCAAUAUAUAAAAAAUUAAUAAAUAAAUUAUGAGGCGAUGAAAGUUAAUAAAAAAUUUGAUUAAGGCGGACAAAUUUUAUUACGAUGGGUGACAGUGGUUACAAGGAUCUAAAAUUAUUUUUUAAAAUUUAACUCGAACAAAUACAUUCGAUUCGAUUCAAUUCGAAUUCCAUCUCACUCGACUCGAUUCGAGAAAACUUCAAAUAAAGUUAGGAUGAUAAAAUGAGAUUCGAAAACUCGAUUAAUUCGAAAAUUUUUGAUUCGAUUUGAUCGAAUGCUCACCCCUAAAUACAUGUGUUGUAUUGUUCCAUUCACUUCUUAGGUUAUUUGGUAACUGUGAGAAGUGUGGUAAUGAGAUGGUGCAUGUCUAUAAUUUGGUUUAGCAAGGAAAGGCUUAGUUUUUAAGUGGUCAAAUAUGAUUUACCUCCCUUUUUUGGGAACCUACCUCCUACAUGGUUCACAUUCACUUUUUCAAUUUUUCCCUUAAAAGAAAAACUGUAGAGAAUCAAAAUUUUUUGAUUGACUCUUGUGAAUAAUUGAAUGUGAAUAUUAUAAAAUUGCUAUAGCAUGUCAUACAUACAUGAGAUAAACAUGUCAUAUAGUUUAGGAAAGAAUACCACAUGUACUUGUCAUGCAUAUAUUAAUCAUUCAUGAUUGAAAUCAGAAAUUAAAAACCUUGCAUGUUUUUAAAAUAUUGAGUGGAAGAAGGUUCCUAAAUAAGACCUGCAACCUCCAUCAAUAGUCUCUUGUGAUGGCAUGGCAAGUGCACUACCCCACUGUAGGAUUUCUAUGUGGAUUUCAUUGAGAAGAUUUCCUAAAAGUAAGAAGAACUCUCUUGUGAUCAAAUGAUAAUUAGACUAUCCCUUGUGGUAGGUAUUAUCAUGUAAUAGGUCAAGAAAUUCUGUCUUUAAAAGAGGACAACUAGUCAAAGCAUGCUACUCGGUGAGAUUGUCCCAUGAUGACUCAUUUGUGGUGCAUGAUGCGAUAGGUGUUGAGUUGAUGGUUAUACACUCAAUAUCUUCUAGUUAAGUAACUUCCCAUGAAGCUCUACUUGAGUCAAAAUGAUGGUCAUACUAGUACAUGUGAGCCUAAGGAAUUAGGUUCAUGUACUAAUUGGAUGGAAAUCAAUGUUCUUAUUAGUUGAUCAUGAUCACCCCAAGGUGUCUUGAUUCAAUGGGUGUGGGAGUUACCGUUGCAACAGUUUAUAGAUAUUUUCAAGGUUUAAUGUAAGUUGCAUGCAUCAUCUUAAUGCAUAUCGUAAUAUUGCAAAACAUCUUCAAAAAUUUUUUUAAUACAAAUAUAUUAAUAUAUGAAUGUUUUAUUUUCAGUUCAAAAAAGUCACCAACACCCUUAUUGAACAUACUUACUGAAAACAAAUUGAAUGGAAAUAACUAUAAGGAAAGGAAAAGGAACCUAAUAAUUGUCCUCAGUUGUGAAGAACUUAAAACAAUUCUUGAUAAUAAAUGUUCACCGACUACUUAAACUGAGGCUAGAAAAUGCUGGGAAGAAUCUGAUGAAAUAGCUUAUUGCUAUAUGCUGGCAAUCGUGACCAGUACUCUGUAUAAGCAACUAGAGAGUUGUAAGAAUGUUAAAGCGAUUCUACAUAAGCUAGAAGAUAUGUUCGGAAGUCAAGCUGCCUUAGUCCUACAAUCUAACAUAACUAGCUUGAUGAAUGCCCAGCAAACAUCCAGUACUCCAGUCAAAUACCAUAUGAUUACUCUUAUGGACCACUUUGUCAAGGCUGCGGACAAUGAGGCAAAUCUAAACCAGAACACUCAAAUUGAAAUGGCGUUCAAAAGUUUGUCAAAAGAUUUUGUUGGUUUUCGGGCCGCAUAUAACCUUGGUAACAAAAACCUAACACUUACACAACUUAUGAAAGAGUUACAAUCUUAUGAGUUGAUGUUGAACGACGGUCAAUCGGUCCGAGGAGUAGAAGCGAAUAUAGUCGUCACUUUUUCCUCAAAAAGGAAGAAAAAACGUGUUAAGAAAGGCAAGGCGAAUGCCUUUAGGCCACCACAAGUGGAAAAGAAGAUAAUAAAAAAGCCUAAUGACUUAUCUAAGUCUAAAUGCUUCUUUUGUAAAAAGAAAGGGCACUUCAAGGCAAACUGUAAAGAGUAGAAUGAAUACCUAGCUACCAAAGGCAAAGGUAUGGAACUCUUGAGAUAGAAGCUUGUUUAGUGGAAGAUUCAAUAGACCACUGGGUCAUUGAUUCGAGAGCCACUAAUCAUGUUUGUGUUUCUCUGUAGAGGUUUGAUGAGACAAAAUAUCUUAAAGAUAAGAGCUUAUUGUUACGAACUGAGAACGAGACAAGUGUGGUAGCUGAAGCAGUAAGAUAUGUACAUAUUUAUUUUGAUAAUUUUAGGAAGAUUAUUUUAAGAGACGUUUUCUAUGUACCAAGUUUCAAAAGAAACUUAAUUUCUGUUGCAUGUUUAUAUAAAGACGACUUGAUCAUGACUUUUAAUAGUGGAAUUACAAUAUUUAGAACUCACAAUCUUAUAUGUAAUGGAUGGAUGUCAAAUAAUCUCUAUUUUAUCAAACCAAAUAUGUACACACUGCUUGAGACUGAAAUAUCAAAAAAAUACUUAAAACUUCUCACCCUAAUGAGGCAUACCUUUGGCAUUUGAGACUUGGUCAUAUUAAUCGAGAAAGAAUCAUUAGACUUGUGAAAGACGUCAUCUUAAGUUCACUUAAAGAAGUUGAUCUUUCACAAUGUGAAUCUUGCUUUGAAGGUAAAAUGACUAAGCGAUCUUUUAAUGCAAAAGGAACGAGGGCCAAAAAACCCCUAGAAUUUAUGCACAUUGAUGUAUGUGGCUCCAUGAGCAUUAGUGUAAGAGGUGAUUACGAGUAUUAUGUAACCUUUAUUAGUGACUAUUCUAGAUAUGGGCAUGUAUACCUAAUGAACUGGAAGAGUGAAACCUUUGAUAAAUUCAAAGAGUUUCAUGCGAAAGUGGAGAAACAACUAGGUUUACCUAUGAAGGCACUUCGAUAAGAUCAAGGUGGGAAUAUUUAUCUAAUGAGUUCUUAAGGUACCUCAUAGAUAAUAAGAUUUUAUCUCAGUUAACUAUGUUGGGCACUCCACAACAAAAUGGUGUGGCGGAGAAAAGAAAUUGAACAUUGUUAGACAUGGUACGUUCGAUGUUAAGUUAUUUGAAGCUGCCAAUCUCUUUAUGAGAUAUAAAGUACAAACGACUUGCUAUAUUUUGAAUGGUGUGCCAACUAAGGUAGCAUCGAAAAUCCCAUACAAAUUGUGGCAUUGUAGGAAGCUGAAUCUUAAUCAUUUUAGGAUUUGGUGAUGCCCGGCUCACGUAUUAGAUAAAGAUGCGAGGAAGUUAGACUUACGGGAAAAAUUAUGCAUGUUUGUAAGAUAUCCAAAUAGAACAAAUGAUGGUUUGUUUUAUAACUCAAAAGUGCAAGCUGAGUGUCAACUCAUGCUACUUUCCUUGGAAAAUGUUACAUGAAUGACUUCAAACCUCGGAGUAAAGAGGUACUCAAGGAGUUUUCGGGAAAUAUACAAAACCCUGCAAAAACAAUUGAUAUGGUGCAUGGGUGGCAAACCAAGCUAAGCCUUUGUGGUGAAUUAUCUUAAGAGUCAUUGUGUCGAAUUAUCUUAAUAGCCUGGCAUAUUAUCCAGAAAGCCUAUGUGACGUAUUACCUGGAAGAGCCUUUGUGACGUAUUAUUUAGAAAGUCUGUAAAAUGAAUUAUAUAUCGCUUAAGUGGCGAGUUGUUAGUCCGCUUUAUGGUGAGAACUAGGUAUGCCUUUGAGGCAUUUUCUGAAGGUGGCCUCAACAGAUUACUCGACUGAUGAAUCUAUCAUAGUAACUCAUUAGGUUAGAAAGAGAGCUUAGCAUAUAAGUAAUUAUGGGUGGUGUAAGUGUCCGCCAAAUCUGGAAGUUUUUCCCUUUUGUAUCUGAAUUUAUUUGAACUUCCAUUGGGUGAUCUAAAAUAUUACCUCCAUCGAACCAAAUUCGUUAUUUGGAUCGAUGCGAAGAUAAAGCAUGACUGGUAUUCAAACAGCCACUAAAGCCAGUAUAUGAAUCCACCGAGAGUAGUGUCUAUAGGUAUAAUAGUCUCAGAAACGUAUCCAAUUUCUUUCUUUAAGCAAUUACAAAAUAGUAUCCGUUAUAAGGUAGGAAGUCUGUAAUCCACCAAUCGAGUGAAACAUGUACAAGGAGUCGAGUUAGAGGUUGGCGUAUAGUUAUCCGUUAAGAAUAAAAAAAGUAUCUUCCAAAAUCUGAAAGGAAGUUCAAAUUUCUUAAGUCGAGGAACUCAACAUCAUCGCUUAAAGGUAAAACUGGUCGAGACUCAUUAAAUUCGCUAGGAAUGCGUCAAAGUGAUUAGUAAUCUCUUUCUAAAAUUUUAUAUUGUUAAAAUUUAAAUUAAAGAAUCCUAAAUCCUUUUUCCAAAGUAUUUUUAGGUGAAUUUAUGAUUUUAAGAACAAAGAUAUUGGUACCUCAUUUAUAGUAUUGAAACCUAUGCAAGAUUGCUAAUCACUUUUAGCUCCAAAGUAUUCAUUUAUUGAAACUUUGAAAGACAUGUACCGAAACCUCAUGCCUAUUGCAAUAUAAAUUUUUAUUAUAUAUUUAAUUUAUUUUUAAAAAAAAUUUAAUCAUUUCUCAAAAUAUACCAAUACUAACUACACUUUAUCUUUCCAUUGUUAACUAAAUCUACUCCUAAUCAUAUUCUUUUUAACAUAUACUUCAUAAUAAAAUUCUCUUCACUAUAAUGAAUUUAAUCUUAUUAAGGACCUGUUUAGUAGUGCUUAAAAAAAUAUUUCUAGCUCCAAAAGCACUUUUAGAAGAAAAGUUGUGCUAAACAAGCUGUUUUUGGCUAAAAUUUUUGGCUUUUCAAAAGUGCUUUUUAGAAGUGCUUUUCAAAAGCACUUUUGAAAAUGAGAAGCUAAAAUUUUUAGCUUUUCCUCUCCCAAAAGCACUUUUGGUAUUUAAUUAUUUUUUCACUCCUCCAAUAACAUAGUACUUUUCCUUUUUUUCUUAGUGCUUUAUUACAAAUGUGUUAAAAUCAUUAAUUAAAAUUAAAAAAAUUAAAAUAGUAAUUACAAAGAUUUAAUGGUUAUAUUUAAAUAUUUAAAAAAUAAUUUACAUAUUCUAAUUAAAUUUUAUAAAUAAUUAAUAUUUAUUGCUUAAAAAUAUUUAAAAUUUAUAUUUCAUAUAUUAAAAUAUUAACAACAAGUUAUAAUAUAUAUUUUUUAUAUUCUUACUAAAAUAUAAUAAUAUUAAUUAAUUUAAAUAUUAUUUAAAUACAUAUUUGUUACUUGAUAAUAACAUAUCUAAAAUGAACAUUUUAUUUCUCAAAAGUACUUUUUGAUAGCAAUGCUAAACACUCAAAUUUUAAACCAAACUUUUCAAAAGCACUUCUCCAUAGCACUUUUCAAAAGCAUUGCCAAACUAGCCCUAAUUCAAGUUUCAAUUCUUUUAUUUUUACUUAAUUAUUUUAGUUUAAUACACUUAAUUCGAUAAAAUUUUCAAAUAUUACAUUUAAACACUCAUGUAAUUAAUUUGCUCAUUUCCACUCCUAGAUUUUUCCAAAUUUACUAAACAACCCCUAGAAUUCUAGUUUUGCAAUUUUUAUGAUUUAGUCCCCAAAGUCCCAAAUUUACACUAUUUUACAAUUCAGUCCUUAGAAAUCAUUUUUUUUAUUUUCAGUUCAACCUUAAAUCCCCGUUUACACAUCUUUGAAAAACAGUCUCUCUCUCUCUCUUCAAAAUUUCGAGAUUUUAUAAUUUAACCAUCUUAUCAAAUUUUCCACAAAGUAGUCCCUGAUUUUAGAACUAUUAAACUUUCAUAUUCUAUUUUUUAGAAUUGUAAAUUCUCAAACCAUAUCAAUUAGUUCUAAAACCCAUGUUUUGAAAUCAACCUUUCAAUUUUCAUAUUUCAUAAUCAUAUAAUUUAGUACUACGUCAACUUUUUAGAUUUUAGUACUCAACCUUUAGAAUUCGAAAUUUUAAAAAUUUUACAAUUUGGUCCUUACUUCAAAUUUUAUCAAAUAAAUCACUUGACAAAUUAUUUUUCAAUUUACUCAUCCAAAUAGUAUUCAAAAUAGAUGUUUACCACAUUCAACAUGAUAAAUACACAAUUCCAUCAUUCUAAAUAAUUAAUUUCAAAUUAAAAUAUUCUUAGUAAAAACACCCUCACUUUCUUACUUUCAAUUAUUCACUUCAAAUCAUCCACCAAAUUAUUUGUAAAACCAUUCACCAUUCACUUCAUACAUAAAUAUAAUACUUCCAUCACUUUGAACAUAAAAGAUAAUUAUAUAUGCUUAAUUCUUACAGUUUCACAUCAAAUUAUAUAAUCAAAUAAAUAUAACAUAAUAAUUUAAAAAACUUACCUUAAUUUCUCCACCUACCCAUACUCUCUUCCACUUCCAACAUCCAUCUUCAAGCUUUUUUUCCUCAUCAAAUAUGAACUCUAACUAGCUUCACAAGAAACUUAUCUUGCCAUGGCGUUGUUCUCUUGUUUUUACAAAAAAUCUAUGGAAGAAUUUUUGAAGUUUGACUUGAAAGGGUUGAAAAAAGUUAGACAAGGACCUAAAUGAAAGAAAAGGAAAGUUUAGCUAAAUAUGAGAAACAAGGUAGAGAGGAUAAACUGAUGAUGGAUGAUAUCUUUUUUUCCUUUUUUUCUUUUCUACAUCUUUCUACACAAAUAUUUUAUUAACUUUGUA